UGAAGAUUCAUUCAAAUAUUUAUGCACUAGACAUAGUGCUAAGUAAGCACUAAGUAAAGUUUUAAACUUGUAACACAAGUGUUAUUUUAAGCAUUCUGAAAGUAUUUUUCAGUGAUGGAAAGGCCUUAGUAAAGAAUUUGACCCUGCUCCAGAUAGGUGGGAUGCACAAUCUUUAAAAGAGACAAAGUGAUUUAUAAACAUUAGAUUGUAGACCAUGUGGUAAAAUCUUAUGCAAAAAAAAGGGUAAUUGGACUAGGUGUUUGUGAUUUUAAGUAAAAUGGACUAGGUAGAACUCAUUGAAAAAGUGACAUUUGAUGAAAAAUAUUGAGUGAAAGUCAGGUAGAUAAUGUAGGUCAGAGCUUUUGAAGCAUAGUGCGCAGUUUGUAAAGGCCUGAAAUGAGAUUGCACCUUGCAUAUUUGAGGAGAAGCAAGGAGUCUGGAGUAGAAUAAAUGAGAUACUAGGAGGUCAAAGACUGGGGUUUUAGGCCAGUGGUAGAGCACUUUCUUAGCAUGUACAAGAAAGACCUUGAGUUUAAUAGCCAGUGUUAUAUAUGUGUGUGUGUGUGGCGGGGGGAGUCAGAGAUAAUAAUGGAAUAGGGAAAUAAUAGGCCUUGUAGACUUUGACUCUGCUCCGAUAGAUUUGAGAAGCCAUUGUAGCCUCCUGACUAAAAGAGUGGAGAAUCUGGCAGAGACAAUUCAGAAGGGUGUUCUAAUACUUUACACAAGAGAUAAUGGUGGUAGCAUUGUAGGCAUUAAGAACUGGGUGACUUGAGGAAGGAUACAUAUAUGUAUAUAAAUAAAUAUACAUAAAAAUUAAGCACCUAAUAUGUAUUAGAUGUGGGUAUGUAGUAAUGAACAAAAAAGAUACAGUCCCUGCCCCUUAGGGGCUCACAAUUUAACUUGUCUUGGA
rnacentral:lncRNA from 1 species